rnacentral:rRNA from 1 species
AUUGAAUGCUAGCGGGAUGCCUUACACAUGCAAGUCGAACGGAAUUGCGAACGGGUGAGUAAUGUAUCGGAACGUGCCCAGUAGCGGCGGAUCACUCCGCGAAAGCUUAGCUAAUACCGCAUACUAUUAAAGCGGCCUAUAUCGGAUUUGCUAGUUGGUGGGGUAACGGCUUACCAAGGUGACGAUCAGUAGCUGGUUUGAGGGGACGACCAGCCACACUGGGACUGAGACACGGCCCAGACUCCUACGGGAGGCAGCAGUGGGGAAUGUUGGACAAUGGGGGAAACCCUGAUCCAGCCAUCCCGCGGGUGCGAUGAAGGCCUUCGGGUUGUAAAGCACUUUUGGCAGGAAAGCGGUACCUGCAGAAUAAGCACCGGCUAACUACGUGCCAGCAGCCGCGGUAAUAC